AAACUCAAAGGAAUUGACGGGACCCGCACAAGCAGAGGAGCGCGUGGUUUAAUUCGACGGCAAUCGAAGAACCUUACCAGGGUUUGAAAUGUAUCUGCAUGCCCUAUGAAAAUAGGGAGGCCUUCGAGGGUGAUACACAGGUGCUGCAUGGCGCCGUCAGCUCGUGUCGUGAGAUGUAGGGUUAAGUCCCGAAACGAGCGCAACCCCUAUUCUAUGUUACAAGUGUCUUAGAAAACCGCCUCGGUAAAACGAGGAGGAAGGUGGGGAUGACGUCUGGUCCGCAUAGCCCUUAUGUCCUGGGCUACACACGCGCUACAAUGGCCGAUACAGUAGGAAGCCAAAUCGUAAGAUGGAGCUAAUCCUUAAAGUCGGUCUCAGUUCGGAUUGAGGUCUGAAAUUCGACCUCAUGAAGUUGGAUUUGCUAGUAAUCGUAGAUCAGCAAUGCUACGGUGAAUACGUUCUCGGGUCUU
rnacentral:rRNA from 1 species